UACGGAGGGGGCUAGCGUUGUUCGGAAUUACUGGGCGUAAAGGGCUCGUAGGCGGCCAACUAAGUCGGAUGUGAAAUCCCCAGGCUUAACCUGGGAACUGCAUCCGAUACUGGAUGGCUUGAAUCCGGGAGAGGGAUGCGGAAUUCCAGGUGUAGCGGUGAAAUGCGUAGAUAUCUGGAGGAACACCGGUGGCGAAGGCGGCAUCCUGGACCGGCAUUGACGCUGAGGAGCGAAAGCCAGGGGAGCAAACGGG
rnacentral:rRNA from 1 species